AUACGGAGGGGGUUAGCGUUGUUCGGAAUUACUGGGCGUAAAGCGCACGUAGGCGGACUGGAAAGUUGGGGGUGAAAUCCCGGGGCUCAACCCCGGAACUGCCUCCAAAACUUCCAAUCUAGAGAUCGAGAGAGGUGAGUGGAAUUCCAAGUGUAGAGGUGAAAUUCGUAGAUAUUUGGAGGAACACCAGUGGCGAAGGCGGCUCACUGGCCCGAUACUGACGCUGAGGCGCGAAAGCGUGGGGAGCAAACAGGAGUAGAAACCCUAGUAGUCC
rnacentral:rRNA from 1 species